rnacentral:misc_RNA from 1 species
GAUGAAGAACGCAGCGAAAUGCGAUAAGUAAUGUGAAUUGCAGAAUUCAGUGAAUCAUCGAAUCUUUGAACGCACAUUGCGCCCGCCAGUAUUCUGGCGGGCAUGCCUGUUCGAGCGUCAUUACAACCCUCAGGCCCCCGGGCCUGGCGUUGGGGAUCGGCGGAGCCCCCCGUGGGCACACGCCGUCCCCCAAAUGCAGUGGCGGUCCCGCCGCAGCUUCCAUCGCGUAGUAGCUAACACCUCGCGACUGGAGAGCGGCGCGGCCACGCCGUAAAACACCCAACUUCUGAAAUGUUGACCUCGGAUCAGGUAGGAAUACCCGCUGAACUUAAGCAUAUCAAUAAGCGGAGGA